CUGAUAUGGACAAUGGUACCUCAGGGUGAUGAGGCCCUCAAGAAGAAUGAAAGAUAUAAACCAAACACUGAAGAAAGGAAGCCACAGUGUGGCCCAAAACUAACAAGUUGUUGUACAGCUUACAACCAUCUACCACUCACCUGCUCAUCGGGACCUCAAGCAUCCUUGGCAGAUUUCCCUAUGCUGAGAAGGGAUAUCCUAACGAUCCCUUACUAACUUGAACAUGUCUCCAUAAGCACUGUUUCCAAGCCAGGACUCGUCCAUCAGCACAGGUGAAUCUGGAGUAAGAGAGAUGUUGGAGACCCAGUCCCACGUAGAGGAUCAAUAAGUGUAGGGCACAAAUGGCAA
rnacentral:lncRNA from 1 species